GGCCAGUUAGUUCAGUUGGUUAGAGUGUGGUGCUCAUAAAGCCAACGCUGUGGGUUUGAUCCCCAGGCGGGCCA
rnacentral:tRNA from 1 species